rnacentral:rRNA from 1 species
GACGAACGCUGGCGGCGUGCUUAACACAUGCAAGUCGAACGGAAAGGCCCUGCUCUUGUGGGGUGCUCGAGUGGCGAAAGGGUGAGUAACACGCGAGGAACCUGCCCUUGACUUUGGGAUAACAUCAGGAAACUGGGGCGAAUACCGGACAGGAGCUCCUGCUGCAUGGGGGGGGUUGGAAAGUGUCGGCGGUUGGGGAUGGACUCGCGGCUCAUCAGCUUGUUGGUGGGGUAGUGGGUUACCCAGGCAUUGAGGGGUAGCCGGCCUGAGAGGGUGACCGGCCACAUUGGGACUGGGAUAGGGCCCAGAGUGCUACGGGAGGCAGCAGUGGGGGUUAUUGCGCAAUGGGCGGAGGCCUGGUGCAGCAACGCCGCGUGCGGGAUGACUGCCUUCGGGUUGUAACCCGCUUUCGCCUGUGACGAAGCGUGAGUGACGGUAAUGGGUAAGGAAGCACCGGCUAACUACGUG